rnacentral:rRNA from 1 species
AUCUACGGCCAUACUACCCUGAACAAGCCCAAUCUGUCUGAUCUUGGAAGCUAAGGAGGUUUGGGCCUGGUUGGUACCUGGAUGGGAGACCACCUAGGAAGUCCAGGUGCUGUAGGUG